UUUAUUUUUCGAUCUUCUUCUCUCUCUGGUGAAUAAAUCACUUGCAUAAGGAUGAAAUCAACAUAAAGAUGACUUGUAAUGAGUUUAUUAUUAACAAAUGUCAUGGAAAAUUUUCCAGCCAGAUAAAUUGCCGAGGAUGGUUCAUCGACCCAUCUUUUUAAAAAUUUCGGGAGUUAAGAAUUUUAGUUUGUACUUUGUAAAAAUCUUGUCGAAUUCGAAGAAAAAACGAUGAGAUUAUUGGUAGGCUUCAUGGGGAUGCUACUUAUAAGAACUGAAAGAGACGAUUUGGCUUCCCCCUCUAAGCAAGAUAUUUCCACAAAUCUCUUAGUUUCCUCGUUUAAAAUUAUAGCUGCACAUUCUAAAAAGAGAUAAGACACUAAUUUAUCAUGGUUUCUCUUCCCAAUUAAAAACCCAUGAAAAAGAUGAGAAUCACUUUGAAAGGUUGUUAAGAUUAUUUGACAAGAGGAUCCAAACAAAAUCUAUCACGCAUCAUUAAUUCUCAAAAUCCUCUUUAAUGAUAACAAUAGUAAUAGUAAUAAUAUAGUGCGUAUAGCCAGACGGUGUAACGAGUAAGUGAAGAUUUUUCUUGUAAAAGAGAGAGCAGUAACCACCUCACCAAUCUACAUGCACCAUUAGAUCUGCUAUAUGUCUUUUGAGAACGCUCACGAAACGGACCGUCGUGGGCGUAAGGAUUGGUAUGCUAAGGAGGGUACCCAGGAAACCGGAUAAUGUGAUAUAUAUACAUCCGCUUGAGGGAGGCCAGAGAUAGAGAGAGCAGAGCAGAGGGAAAUACUCUCCAGGGGUGAUUUCUCUUCAUCCCGUUGGCGUUUCACGGCGUCCUCCUUAGUUCGUCUCUUAGUGGUUGCUGCCACCGCCGACGGCCGCAUCAUCGCCGUUGCGCCGCCACUCCUUUGCGCGUCUCUGUUUUUCCGGGCCAGAGAGUUCGAAGCGUCCUAAUCUCGAGCCUUCAAACUACACCCGGCGCGAAUCGUUGUUGUCGGUGCUUUUCGUUCCGUCAGAUUUAGCUACCCGUCGAGGCCUGAAACCAGGUCACUGACUUGGACCUCGCCGAGGCAUUCGACUGUUCGCAAAGAGUUUUGAAGACCCGUCAGGCUCACCAGAAGCUUCAGCCUCCGUUGAGAAGGGCGGGUCGCAGGGUGGUCGUAGGGCAGCUCGCUCUCUCAGAGGUCGAGACGUUCUGGUGCUCGAAUUGGCGGCCGACCUUGGGGACCGGCAUGAGCUCUCGCAACGGCGAGGUCAUCCAUGUCGGCAGAUGUUACCCUCCCAAUUCACUCAAGGCGACUGAUAGCCCUCGCCUCCAUCAACUUUCGCUUCCUUCAACUCCAUAUCAGGACGUUGUAACCACCGCCUACGGUGGCUAUUCGUCACUGCCGAGCUGAGCAGGAAUUUCCCUGCUCGUCCCUGGUUUUGGAGCGCCAUUGUUGAAGAGUUCAAAUAGUGGCGGCGAUCAACCCCCUCGCAGAUUCUCAAGCCUUCUAGAUCACCGCCGGUAUUGUUUUGUUCAAAGCCGAUCGGUCGUCGCUGCAGGUAAUCACCUUUUGCUAGAUCGAACUGAGUAUCUUCUGUUUUAGGUGUAUGAGUAUGAAAGCAGAGGCUGAGAAUCUAGUUCUUGCUAGCUUGAAAAUCGCACGUGUCAGAGCUUAUAUUCGUGAUUACGACUUGUCCGUGAUAGUUUCAGGUUGAACCGGUUUUGAUUUCCACUAAUUCGUCAUCGUGUUGUUCUCUGUCUCAA